rnacentral:rRNA from 1 species
UGGGGAAUCUUCCGCAAUGGACGAAAGUCUGACGGAGCAACGCCGCGUGUAUGAUGAAGGUCUUCGGAUUGUAAAGUACUGUCAUUGGGGAAGAACGGUUUUCUUGAAAAGAUUGAGAAGACAUGACGGUACCCAAGGAGGAAGCCCCGGCUAACUACGUGCCAGCAGCCGCGGUAAUACGUAGGGGGCAAGCGUUGUCCGGAAUUAUUGGGCGUAAAGGGCGCGUAGGCGGGCUUUUAAGUCCGGUGUGAAAGAUCAGGGCUCAACCCUGAGAGUGCAUCGGAAACUGGAGGCCUUGAGGACAGGAGAGGAAAGUGGAAUUCCACGUGUAGCGGUGAAAUGCGUAGAUAUGUGGAGGAACACCAGUGGCGAAGGCGACUUUCUGGACUGUAACUGACGCUGAGGCGCGAAAGCGUGGGGAGCAAACAGGAUUAGAUACCCUGGUAGUCCACGCCGUAAACGAUGAGUGCUAGGUGUAGAGGGUAUCGACCCCUUCUGUGCCGCAGUUAACACAAUAAGCACUCCCGCCUGGGGAGUACGGCCGC